rnacentral:tRNA from 1 species
AGGAUAUUAGUUAAUAAAAUUAUUUAAUAAUAUUUAAUUUGCUUUUAAAAGUAACUUAAAAAAAGUAUAUCUUA